ACAAUGGCGGGGUGCCUUACACAUGCAAGUCGAACGAUGAUGCCCAGCUUGCUGGGCGGAUUAGUGGCGAACGGGUGAGUAAUACGUGAGUAACCUGCCCUUGACUCUGGGAUAAGCCUGGGAAACUGGGUCUAAUACUGGAUACUACCUCUUGCCGCAUGGUGGGUGGUGGAAAGGGUUUUACUGGUUUUGGAUGGGCUCACGGCCUAUCAGCUUGUUGGUGGGGUAAUGGCUCACCAAGGCGACGACGGGUAGCCGGCCUGAGAGGGUGACCGGCCACACUGGGACUGAGACACGGCCCAGACUCCUACGGGAGGCAGCAGUGGGGAAUAUUGCACAAUGGGCGGAAGCCUGAUGCAGCGACGCCGCGUGAGGGAUGACGGCCUUCGGGUUGUAAACCUCUUUCAGUAGGGAAGAAGCGAGAGUGACGGUACCUGCAGAAGAAGCGCCGGCUAACUACGUGCCAGCAGCCGCGGUAAUACGUAGGGCGCAAGCGUUGUCCGGAAUUAUUGGGCGUAAAGAGCUCGUAGGCGGUUUGUCGCGUCUGCUGUGAAAGCCCGGGGCUCAACCCCGGGUCUGCAGUGGGUACGGGCAGACUAGAGUGCAGUAGGGGAGACUGGAAUUCCUGGUGUAGCGGUGAAAUGCGCAGAUAUCAGGAGGAACACCGAUGGCGAAGGCAGGUCUCUGGGCUGUUACUGACGCUGAGGAGCGAAAGCAUGGGGAGCGAACAGGAUUAGAUACCCUGGUAGUCCAUGCCGUAAACGUUGGGCACUAGGUGUGGGGGACAUUCCACGUUUUCCGCGCCGUAGCUAACGCAUUAAGUGCCCCGCCUGGGGAGUACGGCCGCAAGGCUAAAACUCAAAGGAAUUGACGGGGGCCCGCACAAGCGGCGGAGCAUGCGGAUUAAUUCGAUGCAACGCGAAGAACCUUACCAAGGCUUGACAUUCACCGGACCGCCCCAGAGAUGGGGUUUCCCUUCGGGGCUGGUGGACAGGUGGUGCAUGGUUGUCGUCAGCUCGUGUCGUGAGAUGUUGGGUUAAGUCCCGCAACGAGCGCAACCCUCGUUCUAUGUUGCCAGCACGUGAUGGUGGGGACUCAUAGGAGACUGCCGGGGUCAACUCGGAGGAAGGUGGGGAUGACGUCAAAUCAUCAUGCCCCUUAUGUCUUGGGCUUCACGCAUGCUACAAUGGCCGGUACAAAGGGUUGCGAUACUGUGAGGUGGAGCUAAUCCCAAAAAGCCGGUCUCAGUUCGGAUUGAGGUCUGCAACUCGACCUCAUGAAGUCGGAGUCGCUAGUAAUCGCAGAUCAGCAACGCUGCGGUGAAUACGUUCCCGGGCCUUGUACACACCGCCCGUCAAGUCACGAAAGUUGGUAACACCCGAAGCCGGUGGCCUAACCCCUUGUGGGAGGGAGCCGUCGAAGGUGACCGGGGU
rnacentral:rRNA from 1 species